ACAUUCAGCAUUAAGCAGAAUUAUUUUAUAAAACUUUGCAUGUAUCGUUGCGAUUUUAAGAUCAACUUAUGUAAGAAGGUCAACUCUCCUACUCUCAGAAAAACAUUGACUUUAGAUGUAAACAGGAUCCAAGCAAAAAAAAAAAUAUGGCUGAUAUAGCUUUUGUUAGCAAUAAUCCCCCAUGGAUACGAUGUUACCGUAAUAAAAUUUUGAAGAAGAAUUUAAUGUUCUGAGAGUUUUUGAAUUCACAAAUAAACUAAUUGUAAUCCGUUGUAAUAGUAGUUAUGAUAAUAUUAAUUUUCUUCUUUUCUAUCUCUAAUAUACGUCUGUGAUUCUAAUCUUUUCUAAAGACCAACAUAGGCCAUAACUAUUUUGUCGAUAAUCUGUCAGAAAUGCCAGAAAUAUCUAUUUUGCUGACUGAUUUUACUGGCAAUUGUGUAUAUUAAAAAAAAUCGUACACAUUCAGUCACGCAUUUUCGAGCAUUGAUGAUAUUAAUCCAUUCGAGUUUAACAAAAUCUCGCAAAUUUUGACAUAUUCUGAGAACCUUGUCGCCAAUAAAUCCUUAUAUCCAGAAAAUGGAAUUGAUGGAGUAGAAUGUGCUCGGCACAAUGUUUUGCAAAUUAUCUUGAAAAAUGUCUUCAUUGCUCUUGCCAUUAUCAUAAGUAAUUUGUCAUUCGUAACACAGUUAUUGGCUAUCACUGCAAGAAUAAAUGUACAGUUGCACUGUAAAUUUCAGGCAUCAAUGAAUAUAUACAUUACUAAUUAA